UUCCGGUUGAUCCUGCCGGAGGCCAUUGCUAUUGGGAUUCGAUUUAGCCAUGCUAGUCGCACGAGUUCAGACUCGUGGCGAAUAGCUCAGUAACACGUGGCCAAACUACCCUUCGGAACACGAUACCCUCGGGAAACUGAGGCUAAUAGUGUAUACCACAGUCCACCUGGAAUGAGGACUGUGCCAAACGCUCCGGCGCCGAAGGAUGUGGCUGCGGCCGAUUAGGUAGACGGUGGGGUAACGGCCCACCGUGCCAAUAAUCGGUACGGGUCAUGAGAGUGAGAACCCGGAGACGGAAUCUGAGACAAGAUUCCGGGCCCUACGGGGCGCAGCAGGCGCGAAACCUUUACACUGCACGACAGUGCGAUAAGGGAAUCCCAAGUGCGUAGGCAUAGAGCCUACGCUUUUGUCCACCGUAGGGGGGUGGACGAAUAAGGGCUGGGCAAGACCGGUGCCAGCCGCCGCGGUAAUACCGGCAGCCCAAGUGAUGGCCGAUUUUAUUGGGCCUAAAGCGUCCGUAGCUGGCCGCACAAGUCCAUCGGAAAAUCCACCCGCUCAACGGGUGGGCGUCCGGUGGAAACUGUGUGGCUUGGGACCGGAAGGCGCGACGGGUACGUCCGGGGUAGGAGUGAAAUCCCGUAAUCCUGGACGGACCGCCGAUGGCGAAAGCACGUCGCGAGAACGGAUCCGACAGUGAGGGACGAAAGCUAGGGUCUCGAACCGGAUUAGAUACCCGGGUAGUCCUAGCCGUAAACAAUGCCUGCUAGGUGUGGCUCCCACUACGAGUGGGUGCUGUGCCGUAGGGAAGCCGCUAAGCAGGCCGCCUGGGAAGUACGUCCGCAAGGAUGAAACUUAAAGGAAUUGGCGGGGGAGCACUACAACCGGAGGAGCCUGCGGUUUAAUUGGAUUCAACGCCGGA
rnacentral:rRNA from 1 species